UACGGAGGGAGCUAGCGUUGUUCGGAAUUACUGGGCGUAAAGCGCACGUAGGCGGCUUUGUAAGUUAGAGGUGAAAGCCCGGGGCUCAACCCCGGAAUUGCCUUUAAGACUGCAUCGCUUGAAUCCGGGAGAGGUGAGUGGAAUUCCGAGUGUAGAGGUGAAAUUCGUAGAUAUCUGGAGGAACACCGGUGGCGAAGGCGGCGACCUGGUCCUAUACUGACACUCAUACACGAAAGCGUGGGGAUCAAACAGG
rnacentral:rRNA from 1 species